rnacentral:rRNA from 1 species
GAGUUUGAUCAUGGCUCAGAACGUACGCUGGCGGCACGCCUAACACAUGCAAGUCGAACGAAGUAGCAAUACUUAGUGGCAGACGGGUGAGUAACAUGUAGGUAUCUGCCCUUUGGCCUGGAAUAACACGAGGAAACUUGUGCUAAUACCGGAUAAGUCUUUACGGAGAAAGCUUUAUGCACCAUUGGAUGAGCCUGCACUUGAUUAGUUUGUUGGUGGGGUAAUGGCCUACCAAGACUGUGAUCAAUAGCUGAUUUGAGAGGAUGAUCAGCCACAUUGGGACUGAGACACGGCCCAAACUCCUACGGGAGGCAGCAGUGGGGAAUCUUGCACAAUGGAGGAAACUCUGAUGCAGCGAUGCCGCGUGAGUGAAGAAGGCCUUUGGGUUGUAAAGCUCUUUCGUCGGGGAAGAAAAUGACUGUACCCGAAUAAGAAGGUCCGGCUAACUUCGUGCCAGCAGCCGCGGUAAUACGAAGGGACCUAGCGUAGUUCGGAAUUACUGGGCUUAAAGAGUUCGUAGGUGGUUGAAAAAGUUGGUGGUGAAAUCCCAGUGCUUAACUCUGGAACUGCCAUCAAAACUUUUCAGCUAGAGUAUGAUAGAGGAAAGCAGAAUUUCUAGUGUAGAGGUGAAAUUCGUAGAUAUUAGAAAGAAUACCAAUUGCGAAGGCAGCUUUCUGGAUCAUUACUGACACUGAGGAACGAAAGCAUGGGUAGCGAAGAGGAUUAGAUACCCUCGUAGUCCAUGCCGUAAACGAUGUGUGUUAGACGUUGGAAAUUUAUUUUCAGUGUCGCAGCGAAAGCGAUAAACACACCGCCUGGGGAGUACGACCGCAAGGUUAAAACUCAAAUGAAUUGACGGGGACCCGCACAAGUAGUGGAGCAUGUGGUUUAAUUCGAAGAUACGCGCAGAACCUUACCAACACUUGACAUGUUCGUCGCGACUCUAAGAGAUUAGAGUUUUCGGUUCGGCCGGACGAAACACAGGUGCUGCAUGGCUGUCGUCAGCUCGUGUCGUGAGAUGUUGGGUUAAGUCCCGCAACGAGCGCAACCCUCACUUUUAGUUGCCAUCAUUAAGUUGGGCACUCUGAAAGAACUGCCAGUGAUAAGCUGGAGGAAGGUGGGGAUGACGUCAAGUCCUCAUGGCCCUUACGUGUUGGGCUACACACGUGCUACAAUGGUAUCUACAACAGGAAGCAAAACUGCGAAGUUAAGCAAAUCCCUAAAAGAUACCUCAGUUCGGAUCGCACUCUGCAACUCGAGUGCAUGAAGCUGGAAUUACUAGUAAUCGUGGAUCAGCGUGCCACGGUGAAUGCGUUCCCGGGUCUUGUACACACCGCCCGUCACACCAUGGGAGUUGGUUCUACCUUAAGGCAAGGUUUUAAACCCUUGACCACGGUAUAGUCAGCGACUGGGGUGAAGUCGUAACAAGGUAACC